GUCGAGCGGGGUUACUGUGGUGGAACCCUUCGGGGUGAAACUGCUUUAACCUAGCGGCGGACGGGUGAGUAACGCGUGGGUAACCUGCCCUAAAGACCGGGAUAACAGCGGGAAACCGCUGCUAAUACCGGAUACCUUUACUGGGGGGCAUCCUCUGGUAAAGAAAGGAGCAAUCCGCUUUAGGAUGGGCCCGCGUCCCAUUAGCUAGUUGGUGAGGUAACGGCUCACCAAGGCGACGAUGGGUAGCCGGCCUGAGAGGGUGAACGGCCACACUGGGACUGAGACACGGCCCAGACUCCUACGGGAGGCAGCAGUAGGGAAUCUUGCGCAAUGGGCGAAAGCCUGACGCAGCGACGCCGCGUGAGCGAAGAAGGCCUUCGGGUCGUAAAGCUCUGUCCUCAGGGAAGAAGGAAGUGACGGUACCUGAGGAGGAAGCCCCGGCUAACUACGUGCCAGCAGCCGCGGUAAUACGUAGGGGGCGAGCGUUGUCCGGAAUUACUGGGCGUAAAGGGUGCGUAGGCGGCCCUUUAAGUCGGGUGUGAAAGUCCACGGCUUAACCGUGGGAUUGCACUCGAAACUGGAGGGCUUGAGUGUCGGA
rnacentral:rRNA from 1 species